AGUGAACGCUGGCGGUAGGCCUAACACAUGCAAGUCGAACGGCAGCACAGUAAGAGCUUGCUCUUACGGGUGGCGAGUGGCGGACGGGUGAGGAAUACAUCGGAAUCUACUUUUUCGUGGGGGAUAACGUAGGGAAACUUACGCUAAUACCGCAUACGACCUACGGGUGAAAGCAGGGGAUCUUCGGACCUUGCGCGAUUGAAUGAGCCGAUGUCGGAUUAGCUAGUUGGCGGGGUAAAGGCCCACCAAGGCGACGAUCCGUAGCUGGUCUGAGAGGAUGGUCAGCCACACUGGAACUGAGACACGGUCCAGACUCCUACGGGAGGCAGCAGUGGGGAAUAUUGGACAAUGGGCGCAAGCCUGAUCCAGCCACACCGCGUGGGUGAAGAAGGCCUUCGGGUUGUAAAGCCCUUUUGUUGGGAAAGAAAAGCAGCAGGUUAAUACCCCGCUGUUCUGACGGUACCCAAAGAAUAAGCACCGGCUAACUUCGUG
rnacentral:rRNA from 1 species